rnacentral:lncRNA from 1 species
AGUGGGCAAAAUGGUAGCAGCUGGCAGCUUCUGCUUCAGAUAAAUAGAUCUCAGCAGUAACAACCUGAAUUUGCCUGUCUCUCCAGACUUCAGAUCUGCUUGUUUGCCCUGCAACCUCAGUUCUUUGAUGGAUCCAAGAAAAGGCCUUGAUUUUUGGCUUAAGAUUUUUCUUAUUGUAAGAAGAGAAGUGAUGACUUCUAAGCUGUUUACACUGAGGGCCUAAAACCAGAGUUUUACACUUGAUUUUUGGAGAGAGGAUUCCCAACCUUUUCACAUCUUCCUCCAUGCUGCCAUAACCCAAAGUUACCACAUUGUUAUCUGGUCUUGGACACCAAUUGGAAACUCUAAACAUGAGGAUAGUAAAGAAUUUGACAAGCUGAUUCUAAAAUGUAUACAGAAAAAGCAAACGUCUAAGAACUUCCAUUCCUUUCAUCAUGGCACAAUGAUAAAAACCUUAGACCGGCAGGAAAGCCACGUGAAUUCAGACCAUUAAUGUGCCAGUUACUUCAACGAACUGAUGGCUCUCAACUUGCUCAUCUAUGAACUGGAUGAAUUGAAACAGAUGACCUUUAUACCUUUCCUCUCGAAUAUUCUUCAUAGCAUUUUGUAACUCAACCUUAUGUUGCAUGGCAAAAUGUAGCUUUAUUAUGUUUAAACAAUAACAUGAACAAAAAAAGUGAGUUGGAUACUAUUAUCCCUUUUGGUCUAUUUUAUUUUUAAUACAAUUUGAUCUGUUUUGACCUAAGGAAUAUGUAUGAUUUGGAAAUAAAAAUACAGUUGGGGAUA